UACGUAGGGGCUAGCGUUAUCCGGAAUUACUGGGCGUAAAGGGUGCGUAGGCGGUCUUUCAAGCCAGAAGUGAAAGGCUACGGCUCAACCGUAGUAAGCCUUUGAAACUGGGAAACUUGAGUGCAGGAGAGGAGAGUGGAAUUCCUAGUGUAGCGGUGAAAUGCGUAGAUAUUAGGAGGAACACCAGUUGCGAGGGCGGCCCUCUGGACUGUAACUGACACUGAGGCACGAAAGCGUGGGGAGCAAACAGGAUUAGAUACCCGUGUAGUCCCUGAG
rnacentral:rRNA from 1 species